ensembl:lncRNA
CGUCAACAUUUUUUUCAGUACAUAUUUCCUAUGAGGAUAUUCACAUGAAAUUUUCACCAGACAUCAGUAUUAACUCAAAAAAUCCGGAAAUAUAAAGAAUUCACAACAUUAAAGCUCAUAAAUGAAGUUAUGUGUAAUAAAGUGGAAUGAUACAGGGGAAAAAAGUAUUGAACACGCUAACUGAAAUGUAUUUAAUACUUAGUGGAGAAGCUUUUGUUUGUAAUGACCGCUUCAAGGUGUUUCCUGUAUGAAGAAAUUAAUCAGCCAGAGUAUUCAGGUGUGAUUUUGGCCCAUUCUUCUAAACAUAUUGUCUUUAUAUCUUGUUCAAUUGGAUUCAAGUAAGUAGCCAAAAAGUUCAAUUUAGCUCUCGUCUGACCAGACUACACUCUCCCAGUAUUUCAUAGGCUUGUCCAAAUAAGUUGUAGCAAACUUUAAAUGAGCUUCGACAUGCCUUUUCUUUAGUAAUGGAGUCUUGCAGGGUGUUCGUAAACAGUGGAGUGCAUUGACUAUUGUUUUCUCUGUAAUUAUGGUACCAAUAAUUACCAAUUAUGUAAUUAUGCUGCCUCCAAGUGUUUCUGGAACUCUUUCUGAGUAGUCCUUGGCUCUUGGGCUACUCUUCUGACUAUUCUUCUGACUUCCUGGUCAGAAAUAUUGUGAGGAGCUCCGGUACAUGGCCGGUUGAUAACGGAGUAAUGUUGUUUCCACUUGAGGAUAAUGGCCCCAAUGGUGCUUACUGGAGGAUUCAGAAGUUUUGAAAUAGGUCUAUAUCUGAUUCCAUCAAUAUGUUUUGCAACAAUAAAGUUGCGAAGUUAAUGGGAGAGCUCUUUGCUUUUACCUAUCAGAGAUGUUUCCUGUGUGACACCCUAUCAGGGAUGUUUCCUGUGUGACACCCUGGUAACGAAAAGCCUUUUUAUAAACCAUCAAUUUACUAACCCAGCUGAUAUUAAUGUGCACAGAUAGCAAGUAUAAUUAAUUACGGAUUUCAGCUGGUUCCUUGCCUUACCUUGUCUUGGAGAACUGCUUUUUCUUAGUGUGUUCAUCACUUUUUUCGUUUCAUUCCAUUUUAUUACACAUAACUUUAUUUAUGGACUUUAAUGUUGUGAAUUUUUUAUAUUUCCAGAUAUCUUGAGUUAAUACCUAAAUACUCAUUUCCCAUUACACAUUUAUAUGCAAUAUAUAUUUGACAUUUAGCAGUAAUGUUUAGAUUAUGAAUGUGGAAGUAGGUAGGGCAUCUUUUGGGGGAUUUUAAAUUUAAUCUUUAAAUUAAAUUUUCUUCCAUUCUUCUUACUUUCUGAACUUUUCCUCAGAUACAGAUACAUGCACACAGAUGAACAUGAAUUAUAUAGUGUAUUCGAAAAGAUAUUUAUACAAAACAACUUGGCAAAUGGAGUUCAUGCCCAGUCCCUCUCUGUCUCUAUAUAUCCCUCUAUGUUUCUCUCUCUUUCUCUCUCACUCUCUCUGCCACAGUUUCUCACCAGUCUUACGAGUCACUGAUCUAGAUUUGUCACUACUCUCACUGUUCCCACUGAAAAGCUUCCAGCAGCACACAGCAUGUGCUCUGACUGGCAUAAGGUCGCCCUUGACCAAACACUAGCAGAGGAUAAAAUAUUAAUGUCUUAAUGAUGGAAAAUUCUUAAUCAAACUUUGACAACUGUGUGUUCACAGAAUGUAAACACUGUACCUCUGUCAGUCAGAGCAAUUGUGAGCUGAGAACUUGAAUAAUAGUGUUAAAUGGAGCUGUUAGCAUAAGGACAUGGGGCUUGUUCUGCCUUGCUGUGAUAAGACAACAAAGACACUGCCUCCUUGUGGACACACACAUUUCACGUCUUGGACACAAUCAUGCUCCCAUAGUAAACAGAACUAGUUUUAAAAACUGUUCUGGUCUUAUAUUGCUCUUAUUAUGUGUAUGAUGUGAAUAACACAGCAAGUGACAAUAAUAACCAAAUUAUUAUUAUAAUAAUUUAAAAACAAUGGCUAAAUAUGUUAUGUUAUAAAACUAGUUUAUAAGCAUUUAUAAUUUCUCCAGUUCUAAUGACAACAUGUCCAUUUUAUAGUUGGAUCGUCCAGAACAUCCCACAGAUGCUCGAUCAGAUUGAGAUCUGGGGAAUUUAAAGGCCAAGUCAACACCUUGAACUUUUUGUCAUGUUUCUCAAACCAUUCCUGAACCAUUUUUGCAGUGUGGCAGGGCACAUUAUCCUGCUGAAAGAGGACACUGCCAUUAGGGAAUACCGUUGCUAUGAAGAGGUGUACUUGGUCUGUAACAAUGUUUAGGUAGCUGAUGUGUGUCAAAGUAACAUCCACAUGAAUGCCAGGACUCAAGGUUUCCCAGCAGAACAUUGCCCAGAGCGUCACACUUCCGCUACCGGCUUGCUUUUUCUUCCCAUAGUGCAUCCUUGUGUCAUUUCUUCCCCAGGUAGAAACGCACAUGCAACCGGACGCCCCCAUGAUGUAAAAGAUUCAUCAGACCAGGCCACUUUCUUCCAUUGCUCCAUGCUCCAGUUCUGAUGCUCACAUGAUCAUUGUAGGCACUUUCGGUGGUGGACAGGGGUCAGCAUGGGUACUCUGACCAGUCUGCAGCUACACAGCCCCAUAUGCAGCAAGCUGUGAUGCACUGUGUGUUCUGAUACCAUUCUAUCUUAGCCAGCAUUAACAUUUUCAGAGAUGGGAGGCAUGCCAGGAAAAAGCCUUUGCUGUCUUAAAAAGAACAUUAGAGCAAGAAUACAAUUUGCCAAUGAGCAUACAGGCAAAGACCAGGACUUUUGGAAUAAUCAAACUAAUCAAAGAUAGAGUUGUUUGGCCACAGUAACAGCAGACAUGUUUGGUGCAGACCAAAAACAGCUUUUCAGGAGAAGCACCUCAUACCAACUGUGAAGCACGACAGUGGAAAUGUUAUAGUUGGGGUUGUUUCACUGCCUCAGGGACUGGACAGCUUGUAUUCAUUAUUUCAAAUGUGAAUUCUGCAUCAUAUCAAAGAAUGCUUGAACAUAAUAUGAGGCCAUCUGUCCACACGUAAAAGUUGAACCGAAAGUGAACCUUUCAACAGGAUAAUGAUCCUAAGCACACUAGCAAAUCCACCAAGGAAUGGCUCAAAAAGAAGAACUAGAUGGUUGUGGAAUGGCCUAGUCAAAGCCUGGAUUUAAAUGUUGUCGGGGGAUUUGAAACGGGUAGUACAUGCAAGAAAACCCUCAAUCAUGUUGUAACUGAAAGAAUACUGCAUGGAACAGUGGUCAAAAAUUCCAGCAAGCCGAUAUCAGAGACUGGUGGACAGUUAUGUAAAACACCUACAAGAAGUUCUUUCUGCUAAAGAGCACAAUAAGGAUGUACUUAAUUUUUCCACAGAAGAUGAUCACAUCUAUUGAUAUUUCUGUUGAAUAAAUGAUUUAAAAAGCUCAUUUUCCAUGUGGUUUUGUUCAAGUAUAUCAAUUUUAUUAAUAGUGUCACGUAUCAAGAAACUCCACUUCCCAUCAGCCACUGCACUGCUCUAGUUGUCACAUGUCCACCUGCACCUGAUUCAUGUUUUGGUUAAUGAGCACUCAUGGGUAUAAAUAGUCCUUGUCUGCACCAUUAGGUUGUCUUUUGUUGUCUUAGACUCCCGUUGUUCAUGUCUCAAUGUUUGUUUCUUGCCACAGUGUGUUUAGUCAAGUUUUCAUAGUGUGUUUGUUUCUUAGUACGUUUCUUUAAGUAAAUGUCAUUAUCUGCAUCUGCGUCUGCAUCUGCUUCUGGCUCAACCAUCCAAACCGUGACAAAUAGGCACUGUUUCAAAGAUGACCAAAUGUGUGCUUGUCUAAACAUGUCAAAAAAGUAAAAAAAAAUUCCAUGGGGUAUACUUAUUUUUUCAUAUGACUAGAUAGAUAGAUAGAUAGAUAGAUAGAUAGAAAAAUAGACAGUGAGAUAGAUAGGUGGGUGGGUGUGUGGAUGGAUGGAUGGAUAGAUAUCUAGCUAGAUAGAUAGAUAGAUAGAUAGGAUGUAUUCUUGCCCCAAGCCUAAUGUUCCACUGUGACCAAAACCAGGAUAAAGAGGAUACAGAAGUUGAAUGAAUGAAUGUUGCUCAUUCACAUAAAAUAACACAAACAGGCUACAGUUCUCAGAAAACCUGUAGAACUUUUGCGUUCAUGCAUUUUUGAUGGCUCUUGUAAUUAAGCACUACAAAAAAGGGAAUGUUUUUUUUAAAGGUCAUUUAAAAACAUGCUGCAUUUAUGUGCUCAUCUAAGAUAAAGGCGAUAUUGAAUGUUAUAGUGAAAAUAAGACUUGUCAAGACAAAAUUAAAGGAUGCUUAUUAAAAUGUUAAUUAUCGCUAUAUAAUUAUAGUGGCACUAUUGACACAUGCAUAAUCACCCUUUAUACAUUUUCACAUACAUACACUCAUACCUUUUAUCUUGAUGAUAUGGUCAAGAAUAUCCCUUCUAUUAACUAAUUCUAAUUCAAAAUUUUGAAACUAGGGAAUCACAAAGUAGUCUAGCUAAUUUAGAUUACAGAUAUGGCAAUGACUUCUUUAUAACUGACACAGUGCUCCUGCCAGGGGUAGAUGUGCAUUCACUAGCCCUUACUUUAUAUAACAGAAAUUGAUAUUUAAUGUUUCUAUAUGUAGGCCAUCCAAUACUAUUUGAGCUCAAGGGUUAAGGAAAAAUCAAUGCUAACAUGCAUCAUUUCACCAGCAGUGACAUACACUCCUGAUAUGUAUACAGUAUGUCUGUGACCAUGUUUUUUUGUUGUUGUUGUUGUUUUUUUUCAAUACACAGUCCAUGGAAUAUUUCACAUAUUUCACAUAUUUCCACAUACAGCAGGUAAGACUUAGACAUCACUUAAGUGUCUUUGUAAAAAUACAAUAAGAUGUAUGUACAGUAUGUAAUUCUGGCUUGUCAGAAAAAUUCUAGUUCAUUCAGAGGUGUGUGUGUGUGUGUGUGUGUGUCUGUGUGUGUUACAGACAUUGGACAGACAAAGUGUAGCUGUCGUCAAGGCAACAGGGCUCUCUCCUCUUGAAACCUCUUGACUGGCCUUUGCCGCCACACACACACACACACAUACAUACACGCACACUUGACUCACAGCCUUGUGCUAUGUGUGAAUCAAGGCCAUCUCAGACAACCAAGUAGUCCGAGGAGGAGGGUUUGCUCUAUACAGACACUAACACACAAAAUACAGACACAGUAGUGUUAUUUCUCCCUUAAUUAUUUAUUCCUGUAAACUCAGAAACAACUAAGAAUGGAAAGAAAGAUUUAUGCAUAUUAAUAAUUUUCUGUAAAAUAAAGAGUCUUUGUAUGUAGAAAAGACAUGUCUCAUCUUUGACUUCAAUCCAUGCUAUUAAAAUUACUUUAGAUCAUGAUUAUAUUAUUAUUUUGUAACAUCUUCCCUUUUACUCCCACAGUAUGAGGGUUCUUUAGAAGAUCGAACACCUUCAAAUAAAACUACAGUUUCAAAAGGAGUGCAAGAUCUCAGUUUAACAUUCACAAGACUAGGAAGAUUGUAAUAUUGCGGGGGAAAAACCCUCUUGCUAAUUGCCUGCCUAGCGUUUAAAGCUGUUAUGAAGGCAGCUGAAUGGAUUAGUCUUUUACUCAGCGGAAUUGAUAUAAAAAUGUAUAAAAAUGGCCCAAAAAAAGAAGUAAAAUAAAGAACCAGACAGAUGCAAAAAAAAACGCAAUCUAGUUAACAAUGUGUAAAAUGCUUAAAUUAGUUUCAUAAUUAAAUUGUAACUAGCCAGUGCCUCAGGAGGGGACGAACUCAGUUUGGACUAAUUAUGCCAGAGUGUGUUUGUAUGUUGUUUGAGCACAGUCAUCUCCUCCGAGUUUGACAGUAGAAGAUGCAUCAUGGCAUCAUGGAUCGUGUACACUUGUGCCUGUAAGGGGUCACUACACAUCUGGACUGAAGUCAGUGUACAGUACACAGUGAUAUCUACUCAAUAUAACUCUGCUAUACUACAGUAUACACACAUGUUCAGUCAAGAAUAUAGUCCUGCUUAAAAAGUGAUUUUGCACACACCUGCACCAACUGAC